rnacentral:rRNA from 1 species
UGGAGGAAUACCGAUGGCGAAGGCAGCCAUCUGGCCUAAUACUGACGCUGAGGUACGAAAGCAUGGGGAGCAAACAGGAUUAGAUACCCUGGUAGUCCAUGCCGUAAACGAUGUCUACUAGCCGUUGGGGCCUUUGAGGCUUUAGUGGCGCAGCUAACGCGGUAAGUAGACCGCCUGGGGAGUACGGUCGCGAGACUAAAACUCAAAUGAAUUGACGGGGGCCCGCACAAGCGGUGGAGCAUGUGGUUUAAUUCGAUGCAACGCGAAGAACCUUACCUGGCCUUGUCAUACUAAGAACUUUCCAGAGAUGGAUUGGUGCCUUCGGGAACUUAGAUACAGGUGCUGCAUGGCUGUCGUCAGCUCGUGUCGUGAGAUGUUGGGUUAAGUCCCGCAACGAGCGCAACCCUUUUCCUUAUUUGCCAUCGGGUAAUGCCGGGAACUUUAAGGAUACUGCCAGUGACAAACUGGAGGAAGGCGGGGACGACGUCAAGUCAUCAUGGCCCUUACGGCCAGGGCUACACACGUGCUACAAUGGUCGGUACAAAGGGUUGCUACCUCGCGAGAGGAUGCUAAUCUCAAAAAGCCGAUCGUAGUCCGGAUCGCAGUCUGCAACUCGACUGCGUGAAGUCGGAAUCGCUAGUAAUCGCGGAUCAGAAUGCCGCGGUGAAUACGUUCCCGGGCCUUGUACACACCGCCCGUCACACCAUGGGAGUUUGUUGCACCAGAAGUAGGUAGUCUAACCGUAAGGAGGACGCUUACCACGGUGUGGCCGAUGACUGGGGUGAAGUCGUAACAAGGUAGCCG